GACGAACGCUGGCGGCGUGCCUAAUACAUGCAAGUCGAACGCAGGGGGGACGGGUGAGUAACACGUGGGUAACCUCCCCUCAGAGGGGAUAACACUUGGCAACAGGUGCUAAACCGAUACUGAUGGAUGGACCCGCGGUGCAUUAGCUAGUUGGGGAGGUAACGGCGCACCAAGGCCACGAUGCAUAGCCGACCUGAGAGGAUGAUCGGCCACACUGGAACUGAGACACGGCCCAGACUCCUACGGGAGGCAGCAGUAGGGAAUCUUCGACAAUGGUCGAAAGCCUGACGGAGCAACGCCGCGUUAGUGAAGAAGGUUUUCGGGUCGUAAACCUCUGUUGUUAGAGAAGCGGUAUCUAACCAGAAAGCCACGGCUAACUACGUGCCAGCAGCCGCGGUAAUAC
rnacentral:rRNA from 1 species